rnacentral:rRNA from 2 species
UGGGGGAUAUUGCACAAUGGGGGAAACCCUGAUGCAGCAACGCCGCGUGAGGGAAGAAGGUUUUCGGAUUGUAAACCUCUGUCCUCAGGGAAGAUAAUGACGGUACCUGAGGAGGAAGCUCCGGCUAACUACGUGCCAGCAGCCGCGGUAAUACGUAGGGAGCAAGCGUUGUCCGGAUUUACUGGGUGUAAAGGGUGCGUAGGCGGGAUAUCAAGUCAGACGUGAAAUCCAUCGGCUUAACUGAUGAACUGCGUUUGAAACUGGUAUUCUUGAGUGAGUCAGAGGCAGGCGGAAUUCCCGGUGUAGCGGUGGAAUGCGUAGAUAUCGGGAGGAACACCAGUGGCGAAGGCGGCCUACUGGGCACCAACUGACGCUGAGGCUCGAAAGUGUGGGUAGCAAACAGGAUUAGAUACCCUGGUAGUCCACACCGUAAACGAUGAUUACUAGGUGUUGGAGGAUUGACCCCUUCAGUGCCGCAGUUAACACAAUAAGUAAUCCACCUGGGGAGUACGACCGCAAGGUUGAAACUCAAAGGAAUUGACGGGGGCCCGCACAAGCAGUGGAGUAUGUGGUUUAAUUCGACGCAACGCGAAGAACCUUACCAAGUCUUGACAUCCCUUGACAGGCAUAGAAAUAUGUUUUCUCUUCGGAGCAAGGAGACAGGUGGUGCAUGGUUGUCGUCAGCUCGUGUCGUGAGAUGUUGGGUUAAGUCCCGCAACGAGCGCAACCCUUAUGGUCAGUUACUACGCAAGAGGACUCUGGCCAGACUGCCGUUGACAAAACGGAGGAAGGUGGGGAUGACGUCAAAUCAUCAUGCCCUUUAUGACUUGGGCUACACACGUACUACAAUAGCGUUAAACAAAGAGAAGCAAGACCGCGAGGUGGAGCAAAACUCAGAAACAACGUCCCAGUUCGGACUGCAGGCUGCAACUCGCCUGCACGAAGUCGGAAUUGCUAGUAAUCGUGGAUCAGCAUGCCACGGUGAAUACGUUCCC